UACGGUCAUAGAACUUGAAAAACGCCAGAUCCCGUCCGCUCUCUGAAGCUAAGUCAAGUAUCGCUCGGUCAGUACCAAGGUGGGGGACCACUUGGGAAUCCCGAGUAUCGUAGUU